rnacentral:rRNA from 1 species
GAUGAACGCUAGCUACAGGCUUAACACAUGCAAGUCGCGGGGCAGCAUGGGGGUUGCUUGCCAUCCCCGAUGGCGACCGGCGCACGGGUGAGUAACGCGUAUCCAACCUGCCCUUCACCACGGGAUAACCCGGCGAAAGUCGGACUAAUACCGUAUGUUGUCCAUUGACGGCAUCCGAUUUGGACGAAAGGCUUGGCGGUGAGGGGUGGGGAUGCGUCCGAUUAGCCAGACGGCGGGGUAACGGCCCACCGUGGCUACGAUCGGUAGGGGUUCUGAGAGGAAGGUCCCCCACACUGGAACUGAGACACGGUCCAGACUCCUACGGGAGGCAGCAGUGAGGAAUAUUGGUCAAUGGGCGUAAGCCUGAACCAGCCAAGUAGCGUGCAGGAUGACGGCCCUAUGGGUUGUAAACUGCUUUUAUGCGGGGAUAAAGUGGCCCACGUGUGGGCUUUUGCAGGUACCGCAUGAAUAAGGACCGGCUAAUUCCGUG